rnacentral:rRNA from 1 species
CCUACGGGAGGCAGCAGUAGGGAAUAUUGCACAAUGGGGGAAACCCUGAAGCAGCAACGCCGCGUGGGGGAUGAAGGUAUUCGGAUUGUAAACCUCUAUUAGUAGGGAAGAAAAUGACGGUAUCUAACCAAUAAGCCCCGGCUAACUCCGUGCCAGCAGCCGCGGUCAUACGGAGGGUGCAAGCGUUACCCGGAUUCACUGGGUGUAAAGAGCGCGUAGACGGGAGGGCAAGUCUGGAGUGAAAGGCGGGGGCUUAACCCUAGGACUGCGCUGGAAACUGCUAGGCUGGAGUGCAGGAGAGGUAAGGGGAAUUCGUGGUGGAGCGGUGAAAUGCGUAGAUAGUAGGAGGAACACCAGUGGCGAAGGCGGCGUACUGGACUGUAACGGACGUUGAGGCUCGAAAGCGUGGGGAGCAAACAGGAUUAGAUACCCGUGUAGUC